GACGAACGCUGGCGGCGUGCUUAACACAUGCAAGUCGAACGGAAAGGCCCUGCUUUUGUGGGGUGCUCGAGUGGCGAACGGGUGAGUAACACGUGAGUAACCUGCCCUUGACUUUGGGAUAACUUCAGGAAACUGGGGCUAAUACCGGAUAGGUGCUCCUGCUGCAUGGUGGGGGUUGGAAAGUUUCGGCGGUUGGGGAUGGACUCGCGGCUUAUCAGCUUGUUGGUGGGGUAGUGGCUUACCAAGGCUUUGACGGGUAGCCGUCCUGAGAGGGUGACCGGCCACAGUGGGACUGAGAUACGGACCAGACUCCUACGGGAGGCAGCAGGGGGGAAUAUUGCACAAUGGGCGGAAGCCUGAUGCAGCAACGCCGCGUGCGGGAUGACGGCCUUCGGGUUGUAAACCGCUUUCGCCUGUGACGAAGCGUGAGUGACGGUAAUGGGUAAAGAAGCACCGGCUAGCUACGUG
rnacentral:rRNA from 1 species